ACAGAUAACUGUUGGGGUUGUAUCAAGUCAACUUUGGUUAUAUUCUUUAAUAAUUAUACUUAAUUAUUAAUAAUAUAAAUAAAAUAUCAUCAAACUAUGUUUAAUCUCGUUUUGGGGCACCACCCUGUACUCAGGGAAAUAUAACCAAAAUAUCACUCAAAUCAGUCUCAAAUUAGUUAUUUAAUUACUAAUAUUAUUAAUAAUUAAUAACUAUAUUUAAUAAAUUGAAGGCGUGAAAUCCGUACACAAAGCCCUCGCACCCAGAUUAUAUCACAAUGCAAAUACAACCAGUAAUCACAAACAACUGCUCUCUUAAAUUAUAACAGAAUUUAUUUAAACAAAGCAACAUCAAUCCAAAAUCAAUGAACUUAAUCAAACAAAUAACUAUCAUAAACUAAUCUAAGCAACAAACAUUAUCAAGCAAGGCUUGUGGAUGAGGUGUGAAUGUGUGUGUGUGUGUGUGUGUGUGUGUGUGUGUGUGUGUGUGUGAGAGAGAGAGAGAGAGAGAGAGAGAACAAGAUGGUGGAGAGAGACAACGCACCAUGUGGCUUCGUCACAUGGUGACAAAAUGGUGGACAACAAAGGAAGCCGUGUGGCUGCCUUUUGAAAUAGUUUGAGCUCUCUGAGCUGAGUUCAGUAACUGUUACUUAAACACCAGAUUGAAAGCCAGUGGCCGGACUUUGAUUCAACGGCGGGUACACUGGUCUUUCUGAUUGUGAAAGCCGUUGACUGAAGGUAAACUAGCAUAGCAUUACAUACAAAGGCGAACACAGCAGUUCAUCACAAUAAAACAAAUGCAGCAGCUUACAACAGAUAAUAAACAGAAUGUGACGUGUCGUCAACAAUGAUGCAUAA